UUAUCCAGAAAGGGAAUAUGAGUGAGUCAAUUAACAAUGUAUUAUUUUAAGACACUCUGAUCCAGCAAAGUGUAAAAAAUCUAAAUUAAGCAAGAAUGAUAUGGAAGAGGAUCUGUUCAGAACAAACAGGAAUAUUCUGAAGAAAGCAAGAAAAUUUUCAGAAGAAAUAAGCCAUCCGGACCACCAUAGCCUUAAACAGAAAGAAGAGAAACACGCGAUUAUACUUUGAUGUGGUCCUUACCCCAUCACUCAGGAGCAAAACUCAAAAGCACUUCCCAAGGGGAUACAGCGCAGAGAAACCAUCUAGUGAGUGCACUUUGCGACGCCCCUUCCAGGUUAUCUGCUAUUAGGAACUCGGCUGCCCAGAAGGAAGUGUCUUUUACGAUCACAGCAACCUGCCAGAUGAAGCUCCUGUGAACGACUUCUAUUUGUGCAGCUGAGAGAUGAAUAUAUUUGUUUGUAUUUAGCCAGAGGGCCAGCGACAUGAUGCCAAGAGGCCCACAGUCAGGCAGGCCAAACCAGCAGUAAUACGUGUAAAGCAGGAACCGGCCAGAAAAGGAUACUAAGAAAUAGACCAUUCUUGGGAAAUCCCACAUGGUUUCGCCGCCUCCAAUGACGUCACUUCUGAUUCCUUCGCCUCCGAUGACGUCACUUCUGGUGCUGGCAAAUAAAGACUCCGUCUUUACUACCAAGAAUCAGUUCUGUUUUAGACUUUGAACUGUAAAGACCUUCUCUAAAACCUCUUGCAGCCAUGAUAUAAUAAACGGGUG